GCAGCUGGACUCAGUUUAGAUGAUCCCAAUUUUGUUGGCAACAUCCAAAGCAUCGUAACCAGGAGCCAGUCGAACAUAUGCCUUCUUCUCUCCAUCAGGUGGGUGACGUGCGGAUCUUCUUCUUUUUGUGGCUGUGGACACCUUUCAACACUGCCUUCUUGGCCUUUAAAGCCUUCGCUUUGGCUUCGGCUUUAGGAGGGGCAGGAGCUUCCUUCUUCGCUUUCGGCGCCAUCUUGUGAAAAGGGUC
ensembl:lncRNA novel transcript, antisense to BCAS3